GUAGGUGAACCUGCGGAAGGAUCAUUGUCGAAACCUGCCCCGAAGCAGAACGACCCGCGAACACGUUACCUACCGUCGCAUUCAUUAAGUCCGUCCCCGAACGGGAACGUUCGGGAACGGCGCCUAACGAAACCCCGGCGCGAUCCGCGCCAAGGAAUACGUAAACUCGAGGAAGGGCGCUCCGUCUCGGCCCGGUCCCGUUCGCGGGCGCCGGGCUCGGCGCCGCUCAUUCCGUCCAAGCGAAAAACACAAAACGACUCUCGACAACGGAUAUCUCGGCUCUCGCAUCGAUGAAGAACGUAGCUAAAUGCGAUACUUGGUGUGAAUUGCAGAAUCCCGCGAAUCAUCGAGUCUUUGAACGCAAGUUGCGCCCGAAGCCAUUAGGCCGAGGGCACGUCUGCCUGGGCGUCACGCAUCGCGUCGCCCCCCCAAAGUGCGCCUCGUGCGCCCGGGGGAGCGGAUAUUGGCCUCCCGUGCCCCCCGCGGGGGGAGCGGCUGGCUCAAAACGGAGUCCCCGACGGAGGACGCACGACAAGUGGUGGUUUAUCUCGAAACUCGUCCCGUCGUGCGCAAGUCCCGAGUCGGUG
rnacentral:misc_RNA from 1 species